UGCGUAGGCGGUUGGGUAAGUCAGACGUGAAAUUCCAGGGCUCAACCCUGAAACUGCGUUUGAUACUGCCUGACUAGAGUACUGGAGAGGAGACUGGAAUUCACGGUGUAGCAGUGAAAUGCGUAGAUAUCGUGAGGAAGACCAGUGGCGAAGGCGAGUCUCUGGACAGUAACUGACGCUGAGGCACGAAGGCCAGGGGAGCAAACG
rnacentral:rRNA from 1 species